rnacentral:rRNA from 1 species
AUUGAACGCUGGCGGCAGGCCUAACACAUGCAAGUCGAACGAGUGGCGGACGGGUGAGUAAUGUCUGGGAAACUGCCCGAUGGCGGGGGAUAACUACUGGAAACGGUAGCUAAUACCGCAUACCAUCGGAUGUGCCCAGAUGGGAUUAGCUAGUAGGUGGGGUAACGGCUCACCUAGGCGACGAUCCCUAGCUGGUCUGAGAGGAUGACCAGCAACAAUGGAACGGAGACACGGGCCAGACUCGUACGGGAGGAAGCAGUGGGGAAUAGUGCACAAUGGGCGCAAGCCUGAUGCAGCAAUGCCGCGGGUAUGAAGAAGGCCUUCGGGUUGUAAAGUACUUUAAGCGAGGAGGCGUUACUCGCAGAAGAAGCAUCGGCUAACUCCGUGCCAGCCGCCGCGGUAAUAC